rnacentral:rRNA from 1 species
UACGGAGGGUGCAAGCGUUAUCCGGAUUUACUGGGUUUAAAGGGUGCGUAGGUGGGUUGGUAAGUCAGUGGUGAAAUACUUUCGCUUAACGAAGGAACUGCCAUUGAUACUACCAGUCUUGAAUACAGUGGAGGUAGGCGGAAUGCGUCAUGUAGCGGUGAAAUGCUUAGAUAUGACGCAGAACACCAAUUGCGAAGGCAGCUUGCUACACAAUCAUUGACGCUGAGGCACGAAAGCGUGGGGAUCAAACAGG